rnacentral:rRNA from 1 species
AUUGAACGCUGGCGGCAGGCCUAACACAUGCAAGUCGAGCGAGCGGCGGACGGGUGAGUAAUGUAUGGGGACUGCCCGCUAUAGCGGGGUAACUACUGGAAACGGUAGCUCAUACCGCAUACUAUCGGAUAACCCAUAUGGGAUUAGCUAUUAGGUGGGGUAAUGGCUCACCUAGGCGACGAUCCCUAGCUGGUCUGAGAGGAUGAUCAGCCACACUGGGACUGAGAGACGGACCAGACGCCUACGGAUGCAGCAGUGGGGAAUAUUGGACAAUGGGCGCAAGCCUGAUGCAGCCAUGCCGCGUGUAUGAAGAAGGCCCUAGGGUUGUAAAGUACUUGCAGUCGGGAGGCGUUACCGACAGAAGAAGCACCGGCUAACUACGUGCCAGCAGCCGCGGUAAUAC